GACUCCCGCUCGUUCCCCGGAGUCGCCGCGGCCGCGGAUCCGGCGCUAGCUGCGGGGCCUGUUGAGGAAGCCGAGUGCCUGCCGCCACGCCAGCCUCAGCCUGCGCAGAAUGUCCUCCCUGCCCCGCGGCUUCGAGCCCCAAGCACCGGAGGACUUGGGGCAGCGCAGUUUGGUGGAGCUGCGGGAGAUGUUGAAGCGCCCGGAGAGACUUUUGCGCAAGGUAAAAUUCACUCGCAAAUUGCCCGACAAAGGUGAAAAGAUUUUUGACUCUGUUGCCAAACUGAAAGCUGCCAUUGCAGAACGUGAAGAAGUUAGAAGAAAAAGUGAACUGUUUCAUCCUGUUAGUUUAGACUGUAAGCUAAGGCAAAAAGCAACUGCGGAAGUUGAUGUCGAUACAGAUAAGGCCCAGAAUUCUGACCAGAUACUUGACACUUCAUCACUAGCUCCUGGCUGUUCCUCUGUAGAUAACAUCGAGUCAUCUGAAACAACCUCACAAAACCAGGGACUUGGACAUCCUACUCAUGAAGGUGAUGAAGAAACUCCAGAGGCUGAGUACACAGUGAGUAAGGGCCCAGCUUCCAGCAACAGAGACAGAGUGCCGCCUUCAUCUGAAGCUAGUGAGCAUCAGCCGCAGCAUCGUGUUUCAAGUCAAGCAGAAGAUACUUCCAGCAGCUUUGACAACCUGUUGAUUGACAGGUUACAGGGGAUUGCCAUUGCAGACGAAGGUGAACAACAGUCAGAAGAAAACACAAGUGCUACGAACUUGACAGGCCUUUCUAAUGGGACUCAGAAGAAGCCUCAUUACAUGGAAGUGCUAGAAAUGCGAGCCGAAAACCCAGCGCCCCAGCUGCAUAAAUUUAAGACCAAUGUGUAAGUACCAUCGGAAACAGGCCUAUAACAGGAACAUAAUAUUUGUUAAACUCAAAAAGUUUCGAGAAGCUGGGUGUGAUGGUGCUUGUCUAUA